CAACAUUAAGUGUGUUUUUAUAUCAUCUUUUUAAAAGUUAUAUGUCACAGGAAAUACACUUACAUUUAAUGUGAUAAAAAGGACAAAAACUAUCGCGUAAUUCCUUUCUGUUACGUUCUGUCAUGUUACCUGAUCAAAAGUAACAGCAUAACCAUCAUCAGUAACAGGAAGGAUGUUCAAGACAAUUUCACUGAAGAAUCGAACAGUUAAUCUACUGUAUGCCAACCAUUUCAUUUAAUAUAAGUUAUCACCCCCAUAUCAAAUAAAUUUCAAAAUAAUAUACAGUAUAUUGAAUAAAAAAAUAAGUUUUUUGCUUUUGAUAACAGCAGAGAACAUUGUGCAAUUCUAGUAUAGAAGAUAGUAACAGAAAGGAAUUUAUUUUAGAAUUUUUCAUUACCUGGGCAGAUUUUUCAUCUUGCAAAUACAGUUUCAAAGGAUAAAUGACAUUGUUUGCUGUUAUCUUCCAAUUGUGACCAAUCUAAAAUGAUUUAUUUUUCUUAAACUUUAAAAUAAAGCAGAAAAAUCCUUUCUGUUACCAACUCUGUCCUGUUACCGUUGUCCUGUUACUCAAGAUUCUUUCAUGUUACCGACAUAUCUGACUAUAUUUAAGUAUAUUUCUAAACCUUUUGUAUUGCAAAUGCUAAAAUCAAUAAUUGGCAUUUGAUAAACUAUUGCAUGAUAUACUAGUAAACCACAAAUAGUGUCUUAAACUUAUUCCUUAUUCCCAUUAGAAACUUUUUAAAAUUGAUUCACUUUGGUAACAGGAAAGAACUGGAUUUUUUUUGUACCAUUUUUUUAAAUUGCCAUUGUUUCCUUAUUAAACAAGUAUUUGAAUUACAGACAACAGUUCCUAGAUCCCCAAUGUGUGUUCUUCGAUUUGUGCUAUUAAAAUACCAGGUCUAAAGAAUUUUUUUUGGUUUUUUCUUAUUGCCAAAAACUAGACUUUUUCAGAUAUUGUCUCAUAUAU
rnacentral:lncRNA from 1 species